rnacentral:rRNA from 1 species
UUUAUGGAGAGUUUGAUCCUGGCUCAGGACGAACGCUGGCGGCGUGCCUAAUACAUGCAAGUCGAGCGAAUCAAAGGGAGCUUGCUCCCAGAGAUUAGCGGCGGACGGGUGAGUAACACGUGGGCAACCUGCCUAUAAGACUGGGAUAACUUCGGGAAACCGGAGCUAAUACCAGAUAAUAAUUGGAACUGCAUAGUUCCAAUUUGAAAGAUGGCCUCGGCUAUCACUUAUAGAUGGGCCCGCGGCGCAUUAGCUAGUUGGUAAGGUAAUGGCUUACCAAGGCAACGAUGCGUAGCCGACCUGAGAGGGUGAUCGGCCACACUGGGACUGAGACACGGCCCAGACUCCUACGGGAGGCAGCAGUAGGGAAUCUUCCGCAAUGGACGAAAGUCUGACGGAGCAACGCCGCGUGAGUGAUGAAGGUUUUCGGAUCGUAAAGCUCUGUUGUUAGGGAAGAACAAGUGCCGUUCGAAUAGGUCGGCACCUUGACGGUACCUAACCAGAAAGCCACGGCUAACUACGUGCCAGCAGCCGCGGUAAUACGUAGGUGGCAAGCGUUGUCCGGAUUUAUUGGGCGUAAAGCGCGCGCAGGCGGUCUUUUAAGUCUGAUGUGAAAUCUCGCGGCUCAACCGUGAGCGGUCAUUGGAAACUGGAAGACUUGAGUACAGAAGAGGAGAGUGGAAUUCCACGUGUAGCGGUGAAAUG